UACGUAGGGGGCUAGCGUUGUCCGGAAUCAUUGGGCGUAAAGAGCGUGUAGGCGGUCCGGUAAGUCCGCUGUGAAAGUCGGGGGCUCAACCCUCGAAUGCCGGUGGAUACUGUCGGGCUAGAGUGCGGAAGAGGCGAGUGGAAUUCCUGGUGUAGCGGUGAAAUGCGUAGAGAUUGGGAAGAACAUCCGUGGCGAAAGCGCUCUGCUGGACUGCAACUGACAUUGAGGGACGAAAGCUAGGGGAGCGAAUGGG
rnacentral:rRNA from 1 species